GACUCCCAUAGGGUAUGAAGGGCUUGUGUGUAUGAGCUUAUAUGUAUUUUUCAGGGGAGUGAGAUCUUAACCCCCACCGGGGUUUGCUAUUCAGAGCACCGUCAGAGCAACAGCAGCCUCAGCAUCACGCUGGAGCUUUUAGAAAUGCUGACUCUCAGGCCCCGCCCUGGAUCUGUGGACUCGGAAUUUGCAUUUUAACACAAUCCCCUAGUCAUUCUCUUGCACAUGAAGGCUGGAAAAGCACUGGUCUAGGGGAGGUUGGACUAUGUAGGCGAGAGAAACAAAGGGGAAGUGGAGGCGGCGUCUCUCAGCCCUUUCCCUGAAGGCUCCCACUGAGUUUGCUCCUUCUGAAGUCGGUCCUGGCUGCCCUCCCGAUGCUCAGCGCUCACCCACACCGGCCUUCCUCUUCAACAACGCCUGCCAGAAGACUCAUUACUCUGCUUCUAAUAUGUGACUGGCCAGGGGCCAGGAUCUGGCUACCAACUGACUGAUUAACCGCUUAGCCAGAGCGACGGCUUCCCCGUCCACAAGCAGCAGCUAGCAGCUCCUCUCUGCCCCGUGGGUUGCAAAGGAGCCUCCUGGCCCGUCUUGAUCUGGGCAUGGCUAGGGGCUGCUCUGGCUGUGGGCUUCAAAGUCUUCUUGGCUCCAUUCUCUGAGUGUCACCACUUUCCUACUUGUUCUUUCCCUUCCUCUUCUUUCUCUAUUCAUCUUCAAUUCCUUCUAUUGUUAUUUCUCCCCAUCCCACCCGUCAAUCCAUUGUUCACAUCUAUACAUAGACACACUUCAUAUCACACAGCUCUAAAAUAUCCUCUUUAACCCCGUGUUCUCUUCUAGCUAUUGCUCUAGUUUUCUCUCUCUCAUCAAUAAAACUUCUUGGAACAAUUGUCUUCACAUAUUAUUUUCCAUUCCUAUCUUCCAUUUGUUUUUUUACGUACUACAACUUGCCUUCUAUCCACACUGCUCCACCCAAACUGCCCUUAGAAAGGACCCCAUGCCCGCCAUGUUGUUAAUCCAAUACUCAUUUCAGUCUUUAUGUACUUGACUUCUCAGCAGAAUUUGAUAGAGACACCUUCUCGGUCCUGAAACGGUCUCAUCGCUUGUCUCCUGUGGCAUCCCAGACUUUCUUUUCUCCCUAGCUCCUUCUUGGCUGCUUUUGUCAGCUUCCCCUCUUCUAUUUGACCCAUAAAUGUGGCAAUUUAUCUGCACUCAGCUCUGACCCUCUUUUCGUUUCUCCCUGCCUUCUCUUCCUAAAAUUUAGAGCCCAAAUGAUAUCAUUAUAGAGAAAUGAAGUUGCUUUUUCAAGAAAAUCUCUGUAGGGACUGAGAUUCAUCCCUAAAGAAAAAGCAAACAUAAAUCUUAAUUUCAAACUGUGAUAACUGCUUUGAAGGAAAAAUUUAAAUAGAGAGUCUAAUGGAGAGCCUAAUUCACACUGAUUUUUACUGGGGGAGGGGAAGGGUAGGCCUCUCUUAGGAAGUGACAUUUAAGCUGAGACCUGAAGGAUGACGAGGAGUUGGGCAGGUGCAGGGUCGAGAGGAGAAGCAAAAGUAAACAAAACAGAACAAAACAAAAAGCAGCAAAGCCUAAGGCUGAUGACAUCCACAUGUCCCCUCCAACCCAGAUCUCUGUGCUCUGGACUGUUUAUCCCUUCUGGACGUUUCCAUUUGGCUGUCUCUCAGGUAUCUCAAACUUAUUAUAUCCACAGCAGAAGUUUGGAUUUCUCUACAUGUACUUGUUUUCUCCCCACACUUGCCCCCUUCAGUAAAUGGCUUCAUUUUCCACUCAGUGCUCAAACAGAAACCCAAGAGUUCUUAUUGACUCCUUCCUUUCCCUCACUCCCUAAUCCACUCCAAUGGAAAAAUCUGUUAACGCGACCACUAAAAUACAUCGAGAAUCCAUCCACUCAUUCUACUGCCACAAAUCUAGUUUGAGCCGCCAUCUUCUCUCGCCUGGAAGACAAUAGCCUCUCAACUGCUCUCCU
ensembl:lncRNA